rfam:Gossypium hirsutum cultivar TM-1 chromosome 11, whole genome shotgun sequence
AGUCCAUGGUGAGGGCACCUUCUCAACAAAUCUUUAAAUCUCUCUCAUCUAUCAUAAAGAGUUUUAAUAUAAAACUGAUCAAAAGAAGAGAUUUCAUUCCUCAACUU